UGGAAGUGAUGACACGGAGCUGAUUGGGUGUGUUUGGAUGGAGUGUGUGUGAGAAGGGGAGGGGAGGCAGGCUGGGGGUUGUGUGUGGGGUGUGAGGGGCUCUCGUGGGGGCACUGAUGGCAGUGCUGAGCCAGGAGUGCAUCUGAGGCGUGUUGGGCACCUCCGGGGCCCCUCUGCAACACUGCCGGUGAUUAAAGCCCCAAAAAAGCCCACCAGGAGAGCCCCAGGCAGCCCAAAUCUCUCCCAGGGUCACCUGUGAUCCUGUGAUCUGAUCUCA
ensembl:scaRNA small Cajal body-specific RNA 7